UCCGCUGCAGGAGAUGAGUCACCUUUGUCCAGUUACGCUAACGACGAGUGUGACUACGGCAUGGGGCUGGAGCUGGGCAUAGACCUCUUCUGUUACGGAUCACAGUACUUCUAUAAGGUGAUCAGACAACUGCUGCCCAUGGCCUACAGCCUGCUGAAGAGGGGCCUGUUUGGAGAGAUCCUGGAGGCUCACCUCUCCAGCCGUUCCCACGACAACCUGGACCAACUCACCUCAGCCUGAAGAAUACCACGGGAGAGGAAGACGAGAGAGAGAGAGAGGAAGAGGGAUGGAUUGUUGUCAGCUCUGACCACUGUGUGUUUUUAUGAGUCUUGUGCUGCUGUCGUUUGAUUGGUACCAGAGGCGUCUCUGUUCAUAUGUUGAAUAAAGGAUUAUAUUUCUAAGA